rnacentral:rRNA from 1 species
CUUCCCAUUCCGAACAGGACAGUUAAGGUCUAUAGCGCCGAUGGUACUGCAUGGGAGACUGUGUGGAAGAGUAGGACAUCGCGAGGU